rnacentral:rRNA from 1 species
CUUGCUACCUGACCUAGCGGCGGACGGGUGAGUAAUGCUUAGGAAUCUGCCUAUUANUGGGGGACAACAUUUCGAAAGGAAUGCUAAUACCGCAUACGCCCUACGGGGGAAAGCAGGGGAUCUUCGGACCUUGUGCUAAUANAUGAGCCUAAGUCGGAUUANCUANUUGGUGGGGUAAAGGCCUACCAANGCNACAAUCUGUANCGGGUCUGANAGGAUNAUCCNCCCCACUGGGA